rnacentral:lncRNA from 1 species
AAAUUUUAUAUUUUAUUUCCUUGUAUGUCAAGAAACAUAGCUCCUAUGGCUAAAAUAGAACAUAGGAGAAAAUGAUUAUUUUUUUGGCUUUUGAAGAAAAUAGGACGAUCCAAAAAACAUUUAAAUAAAUUGAAAAGCCAAAAUAAUCAUUGAUGAGAGAUUUAACCAAAAGAAUUAAGGUGAGUGAUUCAGGCUCUUGAGAGCCUCUUGUUAAACAAUGUAAGAUGAGUAUAGACUGUUUGUAUAAGCAUUUAAUAUACUCUUUACCAUAGGGUGUACAAGCAUAAGAGAAUAUACUGUAUGUAUCAUUUUACACAUAAUCAAGAUUUUAAUAACGUAGCAUACAUCUGUUAAUUCGCAAAUAUCUUACUAAAACUAUACAAAUGGAAGAAAACUAUUAAAUAUUGGGAAGAAAACCAUAAGGCCAACAAAAACUAUUAUAGUAAUUCCUUGUUAUCAUUAGUUUUGCAAAUUGAAAUUUCGUCUCACAAGAUGACAACUGUUUUUACCUAUUAAAAUGUGUGAGGAAAUCAGGUAUUUGAUAGGUGAUUUGCUGUUGUUGUUUCCAUGAACACACAUAUCUUUUUUUUUUACUUUCUUGAAUGUUUCCUUACAAACAAAGUUACUGAUCCAUUUUUUAAAGAAUUCAGCAACAAUAAAUAUUUAAAGAAAAUUAACUAUGAAGAUUUCAAUGUACAGUUGAUGAUGUAUUACUUAGGCUGGUAUCAUUACAUUCUUAACACUUUGUUUUUAACAUCAUUCCACCACUUUGAAAUGCAGCUUUUAGGUGCGAUUAAUCAAAUACUCAUAUUUAAAUAAUGUUUGUUCAUAUAACUUUUCAAAAUAUUUCAGAUACAUGGCUUGAUCUGUAAAAUUGCUUUUCUAUUUGUGCACUGCCAUAUUAUUUAUCAAUGAAUUAGUUUGUUAUAUAUGUAUUAAAUGAAGUGUUUGUGUUAUUGUUAUGUCAUCUUAAUCAAGAUGUGUUAUGAAG